GAUGAAGAACGCAGCGAAAUGCGAUACUUGGUGUGAAUUGCAGAAUCCCGUGAACCAUCGAGUCUUUGAACGCAAGUUGCGCCCGAAGCCAUUAGGCCGAGGGCACGCCUGCCUGGGCGUCACACGUCGUUGCCCCCCCAUCUACUCCUUCGGGAUUGCGGGGGGCGGAUGAUGGCCUCCCGUGCGCCUCGUCGCGCGGUUGGCAUAAAUGCCAAGUCCUCGGCGACGCACGCCACGACAAUCGGUGGUUGCGAAACCUCGGUUGCCCGUCGUGUGCGGUCGUCGCGCAUCGAGGGCUCGAAAAAAUUGCCGGGCUCCGGCUCGGCUUUCAACGCGACCCCAGGUCAGGCGGGGUUACCCGCUGAAUUUAAGCAUAUCAAUAAGUGGAGGA
rnacentral:misc_RNA from 1 species